rnacentral:rRNA from 1 species
AGAGUUUGAUCAUGGCUCAGAUUGAACGCUGGCGGCAGGCCUAACACAUGCAAGUCGAGCGGUAGCACAGAGAGCUUGCUCUCGGGUGACGAGCGGCGGACGGGUGAGUAAUGUCUGGGAAACUGCCUGAUGGAGGGGGAUAACUACUGGAAACGGUAGCUAAUACCGCAUAACGUCGCAAGACCAAAGUGGGGGACCUUCGGGCCUCAUGCCAUCAGAUGUGCCCAGAUGGGAUUAGCUAGUAGGUGGGGUAACGGCUCACCUAGGCGACGAUCCUUAGCUGGUCUGAGAGGAUGACCAGCCACACUGGAACUGAGACACGGUCCAGACUCCUACGGGAGGCAGCAGUGGGGAAUAUUGCACAAUGGGCGCAAGCCUGAUGCAGCCAUGCCGCGUGUGUGAAGAAGGCCUUCGGGUUGUAAAGCACUUUCAGCGGGGAGGAAGGCGUUAAGGUUAAUAACCUUGGCGAUUGACGUUACCCGCAGAAGAAGCACCGGCUAACUCCGUGCCAGCAGCCGCGGUAAUACGGAGGGUGCAAGCGUUAAUCGGAAUUACUGGGCGUAAAGCGCACGCAGGCGGUCUGUCAAGUCGGAUGUGAAAUCCCCGGGCUCAACCUGGGAACUGCAUUCGAAACUGGCAGGCUAGAGUCUUGUAGAGGGGGGUAGAAUUCCAGGUGUAGCGGUGAAAUGCGUAGAGAUCUGGAGGAAUACCGGUGGCGAAGGCGGCCCCCUGGACAAAGACUGACGCUCAGGUGCGAAAGCGUGGGGAGCAAACAGGAUUAGAUACCCUGGUAGUCCACGCCGUAAACGAUGUCGAUUUGGAGGUUGUGCCCUUGAGGCGUGGCUUCCGGAGCUAACGCGUUAAAUCGACCGCCUGGGGAGUACGGCCGCAAGGUUAAAACUCAAAUGAAUUGACGGGGGCCCGCACAAGCGGUGGAGCAUGUGGUUUAAUUCGAUGCAACGCGAAGAACCUUACCUGGUCUUGACAUCCACAGAACUUAGCAGAGAUGCUUUGGUGCCUUCGGGAACUGUGAGACAGGUGCUGCAUGGCUGUCGUCAGCUCGUGUUGUGAAAUGUUGGGUUAAGUCCCGCAACGAGCGCAACCCUUAUCCUUUGUUGCCAGCGGUUAGGCCGGGAACUCAAAGGAGACUGCCAGUGAUAAACUGGAGGAAGGUGGGGAUGACGUCAAGUCAUCAUGGCCCUUACGACCAGGGCUACACACGUGCUACAAUGGCAUAUACAAAGAGAAGCGACCUCGCGAGAGCAAGCGGACCUCAUAAAGUAUGUCGUAGUCCGGAUUGGAGUCUGCAACUCGACUCCAUGAAGUCGGAAUCGCUAGUAAUCGUAGAUCAGAAUGCUACGGUGAAUACGUUCCCGGGCCUUGUACACACCGCCCGUCACACCAUGGGAGUGGGUUGCAAAAGAAGUAGGUAGCUUAACCUUCGGGAGGGCGCUUACCACUUUGUGAUUCAUGACUGGGGUGAAGUCGUAACAAGGUAACCGUAGGGGAACCUGCGGUUG